AGAGCGAACGCUGGCGGCGUGCUUAACACAUGCAAGUCGAACGCGCAGCAUUCUGUAGCAAUACAGGGUGUGGGCGCGUGGCGAACGGGUGCGUAACACGUGGAUAACCUUCCUUGAGGUGGGGAAUAACCCAGUGAAAAUUGGGCUAAUACCGCAUAACAUCGCGAUGGCACAUGCUGAUGCGAUCAAAGGCGCAAGUCGCCACAAGAGGGAUCCGCGGCCGAUUAGCUUGUUGGCGGGGUAAUGGCCCACCAAGACGAUGAUCGGUA
rnacentral:rRNA from 1 species